rnacentral:lncRNA from 1 species
ACUAAAACUUUGGGUUGCAAUGUCAACUUUGCUCUGGAAGAUCAAAGUAGAGUUUGAAUUGGAUGUGCAUCAUUCCCGAGUUAUUUUGGAUGUGUAGGAAUAAUUUCUGGAGGUAAUUGAAUGUUUGACGCUGUAACGACCCAGCCCACUAGCAACAAUAACUCGUAGGGCCCAACCACCGGCCCAAAAUGCUUAAGCUUAGUUAUUAUUACUAGUGUCUAAGUCUCUUAUAAACCCAAUGACAAUCCCUUUUCCAUCCGAUGUGGGACUAUUGGGGUGUCACAGACUCCCUCCGUUAAGGCCCUGACGUCCUCGUCAGUCCAAUCACACACACAGCCCAAGAUCACCAGGCGAUGUGAGACUCGUCUCGCUAGCCCGUCAUCUAGACCUUGGCUCAGCCGAGACUCGCCACACAUGUCCAGCUGGUAAACCGGCUCUGAUACCAAAUGUAACGACCCAGCCCACUAGCAACAAUAACUCGUUGGACCCAACCACCGGCCCAAAAUGCUUAAGCCCAGUUAUUAUUACUAGUGUCUAAGUCUCUUAUAAACCCAAUGACAACCCCUUUUCCAUCCGAUGUGGGACUAUUGGGGUGUCACAGACGCUAAUCGGGCGCGAAACGAAUUCAAAAGAUUCUAUUGCUCAAAGAGGAGCGAUAAUGUGAUUUGUGAUGCUCCCGAGUUAAAUUGGAGUCUUGGGGAUAGUUAGUUAUGAGUUUGGAAGUGUUUGGAAGUGUUUGGAGCAAAGUAGAAGUG